rnacentral:rRNA from 1 species
AUUGAACGCUGGCGGAAUGCUUUACACAUGCAAGUCGAACGGUAGAGGGGGCAACCCCUCGAGAGUGGCGAACGGGUGAGUAAUAUAUCGGAACGUGCCCAGUCGUGGGGGAUAACGUAGCGAAAGUUACGCUAAUACCGCAUACGAUCUACGGAGGAAAGCGGGGGAUCGCAAGACCUCGCGCGAUUGGAGCGGCCGAUAUCAGAGUAGGUAGUUGGUGGGGUAAAGGCUCACCAAGCCAACGAUCUGUAGCUGGUCUGCGAGGACGACCAGCCAUGCGGGAACUGAGACACGGUGCAGACUCCUACGGGAGGCAGCAGUGGGGAAUUUUGGACAAUGGACGAUAGUCAGAUUCAGCCAUUCCGCGUGCAGGAUGAAGGCCCUCGGGUUGUAAACUGCUUUUGUACGGAACGAAAAGGUUUCCAUUAAUACUGGGAGCUCAUGACGGUACCGUAAGAAUAAGCACCGGCUAACUACGUGCCAGCCGCCGCAGUAA